rnacentral:rRNA from 1 species
AUGGCCGGAGACGGCGGCGAGGUGACGCUGCUGGGCCACUGGGGGAGCCCGUUCGUGACGCGGGUGCGGCUGGCGCUGCGCCUCAAGCGCGUGCGGUACGAGUACGUGGAGGAGGACCUGCGCAGCAAGAGCGACCUCCUCCUGCGCUGCAACCCCGUGCACCGCGCCGUGCCCGUCCUCAUCCACGACGGCCGCCCCGUCUGCGAGUCGCAGGUCAUCCUCCAGUACAUCGACGAGGCCUUCGGGCCUCCCGCCCUGCUCCCCGCCGACCCGCACGAGCGUGCCGUGGCAAGGUUUUGGGCCGCAUACUUCGACGGCGAGCUGGGCGCGCCGUGGGACCGGGCGCUCAGGGCCGGGACCGAGGAGGAGCGGGCCGCGUGGAUGCAGACGGUCGUGGCCGCGGCGGACGGGCUGGAGCGCGGGCUGGGCGAAUGCACCGACGGCGGGCGGAAAGGAUGCUUCUUCGGCGGCGAGCGGGUCGGGUACGUCGACGUCGUGGUGGGCGGCGUGGUCUCGUACGUGCACGCUGCCGCGAUGGUCUCCGGCGAGAGGGUGUUCCAGGAUGAAGGCAGGACGCCGCUGCUGGCGGCGUGGCUGCGGCGCUUCGGCGAGCUCGACGCCGCCAGGGAGCUGCUCCAGGACGUCGACCGGGUCGUGGAGUACGUCAGGUUCAUACACGCCAAGAACGCUGCCAAGGCUCCUGCGAAUUAA